GAUGAACGCUGGCGGCGUGCCUAAUACAUGCAAGUCGAGCGAACGGACGAGAAGCUUGCUUCUCUGAUGUUAGCGGCGGACGGGUGAGUAACACGUGGAUAACCUACCUAUAAGACUGGGAUAACUUCGGGAAACCGUAGCUAAUACCGGAUAAUAUUUUGAACCGCAUGGUUCAAAAGUGAAAGACGGUCUUGCUGUCACUUAUAGAUGGAUCCGCGCUGCAUUAGCUAGUUGGUAAGGUAACGGCUUACCAAGGCAACGAUGCAUAGCCGACCUGAGAGGGUGAUCGGCCACACUGGAACUGAGACACGGUCCAGACUCCUACGGGAGGCAGCAGUAGGGAAUCUUCGGCAAUGGGCGAAAGCCUGACGGAGCAACGCCGCGUGAGUGAUGAAGGUCUUCGGAUCGUAAAACUCUGUUAUUAGGGAAGAGCAUAUGUGUAAGUAACUGUGCACAUCUUGACGGUACCUAAUCAGAAAGCCACGGCUAACUACGUG
rnacentral:rRNA from 1 species